GCGAGGCCGAAAGGCGUAGUCGAUGGGAAACAGGUUAAUAUUCCUGUACUUGGUGUUACUGCGAAGGGGGGACGGAGAAGGCUAUGUUAGCCGGGCGACGGUUGUCCCGGUUUAAGCAUGUAGGCUGAUUGUCCAGGCAAAUCCGGAUAAUCAAGGCUGAGGUGUGAUGACGAGGCACUACGGUGCUGAAGUAACAAAUGCCCUGCUUCCAGGAAAAGCCUCUAAGCAUCAGGUAACAUCAAAUCGUACCCCAAACCGACACAGGUGGUCAGGUAGAGAAUACCAAGGCGCUUGAGAGAACUCGGGUGAAGGAACUAGGCAAAAUGGUGCCGUAACUUCGGGAGAAGGCACGCUGGUGUGUAGGUGAAGUCCCUGCG
rnacentral:rRNA from 1 species